GGCUCGGUAACUCAGCCUGGAUAGAGUGUCAGCCUUCUAAGCUGAAAGUCGCAGGUUCGAAUCCUGUCCGGGCCA
rnacentral:tRNA from 1 species